rnacentral:rRNA from 1 species
CAAAGGGAUUACCGGUGGCGGAUGGGCAUGCGGCGCAUUAGCUAGUCGGCGGGGUAACGGCCCACCGAGGCGACGAUGCGUAGGGGUUCUGAGAGGAAGGUCCCCCACACUGGUACUGAGACACGGACCAGACUCCUACGGGAGGCAGCAGUGAGGAAUAUUGGUCAAUGGGCGCGAGCCUGAACCAGCCAAGUCGCGUGAGGGAUGACGGUCCUACGGAUUGUAAACCUCUUUUGCCGGGGAGCAAGCGUGCGUUCGUGAACGCGCGUCGAGAGUACCCGGAGAAAAAGCAUCGGCUAACUCCGUGCCAGCAGCCGCGGUAAUACGGAGGAUGCGAGCGUUAUCCGGAUUUAUUGGGUUUAAAGGGUGCGUAGGCGGGAUGCCAAGUCAGCGGUAAAAAUGCGGUGCUCAACGCCGUCGAGCCGUUGAAACUGGCGUUCUUGAGUGGGCGAGAAGUAUGCGGAAUGCGUGGUGUAGCGGUGAAAUGCAUAGAUAUCACGCAGAACUCCGAUUGCGAAGGCAGCAUACCGGCGCCCUACUGACGCUGAGGCACGAAAGCGUGGGUAUCGAACAGGAUUAGAUACCCUGGUAGUCCACACAGUAAACGAUGAAUGCUAACUGUCCGGCUCGAAUGAGCGCUGG